rnacentral:rRNA from 1 species
ACUAAAUAGAUACCCGGGUAGUCCCAGCUGUAAACGAUGCAGGCUAGGUGUUUGGACGGCCACGUGCCGUUCUAGUGCCGCAGGGAAGCUGUUAAGCCUGCCGCCUGGGGAGUACGAUCGCAAGAUUGAAACUUAAAGGAAUUGGCGGGGGAGCACCACAAGGGGUGAAGCUUGCGGUUUAAUUGGAGUCAACGCCGGAAAUCUCACCGGGAGCGACAGCAGUGUGAAAGCCAGAUUAAAGGUCUUGCUAGACGAGCUGAGAGGAGGUGCAUGGCCGUCGCCAGUUCGUGCCGUGAGGUGUCCUGUUAAGUCAGGCAACGAUCGAGACCCGCAUCCUCUGUUGCAACCAGCUUUGUGCUGGGCACACUGAGGAGACCGCCACUGAUAAAGUGGAGGAAGGAGCGGGCCACGGCAGGUCAGUAUGCCCCGAAUCUCCGGGCCACACGCGAGCUGCAAUGGCAGGUACAAUGGGUUCCGACCUCGAAAGGGGGAGGCAAUCUCGAAAGCCUGCCGUAGUUGGGAUCGA